rnacentral:lncRNA from 1 species
GUCAAGCUCUUUAAAAGUCUAUCCCAUUUUAAAGAGCUUUUCCAAAAGUCCUUCCAGGAAACUUCUGUGUAUAUCUCAGUAGCUACAAGAGGGUUCCGCUAGAAGAUUUAGUUUUUGAUCCUGGGCAUAUUGCUACCCUGAACAAAAUUCUAUUAGCAAACAGAAGACACAAAAUUACUCUUCAUCAAUUCUCUCUUUGUCUGAUCUAGAGUUUAACCACUUAAGUUUUAAAUUUUAGUAACUGUAUUUUUAUUUCCAAUAUUCUACUUGGCUCUUUCAUAGGCAGAUAUUCUUAUUUCUGAAUUUGUUUUCCAUUUUUGUUCUUCCAUUCUCUCUUAGAAAAUUCUAAACACAUUUAUUUUCAAGACGUUUGCUCAUUUAUUUCCAUUUCAAUCUGAAGUGAGUUUAUCUUCUGAUGGUUGAGUUUGUGGAAAUCCUCCCUAGUAUUAAAUUUCUCUGUGGGUUUUUUUUUUUUUUUUUGUAUGUGUGUGAGAGGGAGUUUACAUUUCAGGUUCAUUUGAAUGGUAGGUUCAUUUUCUCUCUCACCCUAUCUGCUGCUUCCUCUCCACCAAUCCCCAGCCUUGUCCUCAUUCACUCUUUCCCUCUCAAGCAACUCUACUUACUUUCUUCACUUUGUCCUUCAGCCCCUAAGACCUCAUACUGACAGUGGUGGGCUCCUGCCCCAUGGUUGAUACUGGAGUUACAAACACUCAUUCAUUAAACUAGUAGGGAUUUCAUUCAUUUCCUGGUCAAAGGCCAUGUAACUGGAUUCUCCCACCUCUUUAGGACCAAACCUAGAAAUAAGCCUUGGUUUCAGUCAGUGCUUAAUGGCAGUUAUUGUUUUAGCUUUCUUGCAGAAACAAAAGAUACCAACCAGCCUGGCAUUAGGCCGUAAGACUAACCCAGGACCCCCAUUAUGAGCAGAAAACUAUUACUAAAUACUUAUAAGAGCCAAAUUCCGAGGCUGCCACAACCUUUCAGACCCAGAGCCCAGGAGGCCCACAGACCUUCUGAUCAUUUUAUGUUUCUAUUCUGUAUUUGUAAGCUCAGCUAGGUCUUUUCAUAUUUUUAUUAUUAUUUUUUUUAAGAGACAGGGACUCACUCUGUCACAUAAGGCUAGGAUACGGUAGCACGAUCACAGCUCACAGCAACUCGAACUCCUGGGCUCAAGCCAUCCUCCUCCCACCUCAACCUCCCACCAAGCAGUUGACACUUCAGGCGCCACACCACUACACCUGGCUUUUUUUUUUUUUUUUUUUUUUUUUGAGACGAAGUCUUGCUCUGUCUCCCAGGCUGGGGUGCAAUGGCAUGAUCUUGGCUCACCACAACCUCCGCCUCCCAGGUUCAAGCGAUUCUCCUGCCUCAGCCUCCCAAGUAACUGGGAUUACAGGCACCCACCACCAUGCCCAGCUAAUUUUUUAAAAUUAUUUUUAGUAGAGACGGGGUUUCACUAUGUUGGCCAGGCUGGUUUUGAACUCCUGACCUCAAGUGAUCCGCCCACCUAGGCCUCCCAAAGUGCUAGGAUUACAGGCACGAGCCACCGCACCCGGCCAAGACAGGGUCUUGCUAAUGUUGCUCAGGCUGGUUUCAAACUCCUGGCCUCAAGUGAUCCUCCCACCUCAGCCUCCUGAGUAGCUGGGAUUACAGGCACAAGCUACCACGCCCAGCUUAUUUAUCUUUUUCAUACAUGUAUUCUAUCAAUAUUGCUGUGUAUUUGGAUCAGAAUGGAUGCCUGAUCCAAAGUGUGAAUUCAUGAGGUAAUUUUGUCUGGAAGUCUUCCAGACAAACUCAGAUUGGUUUAUGACAGUCAAGAUUCAAAACAGAGUAAAAUCAUGUAUAGAUAGCUUCCUAAAAAUAUUAACAUAUCUGUUUAUGGUCAUUUGUCAUUCAUUCUGUUUGACUAACAAGUGAACUCCUUUCCUGGGAUGGAGACUCCUCUAGGACAGAUGGAAGAAAUGGCAUGGCUCCCUGGCUGCUGGAUCACAACUUAUGACUACCUCAGACUCUGAAUUUUAAUUUAAUUGGGGGGGAAAAAAAACCCCGAAAGAAUCUAUUUGGUGAUGGAUGCUGGCAGCUACUUCUAAUUUCCAAAGGCAGCUUCUAAUGGUAGCAUCCACUGUCUACUCUGGCUAUUGUGAGCCCCAGAAUCUAAUGCCUAGCAGUGGAGGUGGGGAUGUCUUGAACAGAUAGUUCUGCAACAGGAUUUGGGGCAUAAUAGCCUCUGAACCUCUGAAACAGUCUCUGAUAUAAUCUUUAAUAAUGCCCAUACUGGCUUCUUUGAAAAGAUAUGACUAAAAGCUAUGAAAAGCAUUAUGUGAUA